AUUGAACGCUGGCGGCAUGAUUUACACAUGCAAGUCGAACGGUAACAGGCCGCAAGGUGCUGACGAGUGGCGAACGGGGGAGUAAUGCAUCGGAACGUGCCCAGUAGUGGGGGAUAACUACUCGCAAGAGUAGCUAAUACCGCAUACGAUCUAUGGAUGAAAGCGGCGGACCGCAAGACCUCGCGCGAUUUGAGCGGCCGAUGUCAGAUUAGGUAGUUGGGGGGGUAAAGGCUCACCAAGCCAACGAUCAGUAGCUGGUCUGAGAGGACGACCAGCCACACUGGAACUGAGACACGGCCCAGACUCCUACGGGAGGCAGCAGUGGGGAAUUUUGGACAAUGGGCGCAAGCCUGAUCCAGCAAUGCCGCGUGCAGGAAGAAGGCCUUCGGGUUGUAAACUGCUUUUGUACGGAACGAAACGGCUCUGGUUAAUACCCGGAGCUAAUGACGGUACCGAAAGAAUAAGCACCGGCUAACUACGUG
rnacentral:rRNA from 1 species